rnacentral:rRNA from 1 species
AAUGAACGCUGGCGGCGCGCCUAAUACAUGCAAGUCGAGCGAGAAGACGUAGCAAUACGUUUGUAAAGCGGCGAACGGGUGAGGAAUACAUGGGUAACCUACCCUAGAGUGGGGAAUAACUAGCCGAAAGGUUAGCUAAUACCGCGUACGCUCCUUGGACUUCGGUUCAGGGAGGAAAGCGAUGCCGAGGGUAUCGCGCUCUUGGAUGGGCUCAUGUCCUAUCAGCUGUUGGUGAGGUAACGGCUCACCAAGGCUUCGACGGGUAGCUGGUCUGAGAGGACGAUCAGCCACACUGGCACUGCGACACGGGCCAGACUCCUACGGGAGGCAGCAGUAAGGAAUAUUGCGCAAUGGGCG